rnacentral:lncRNA from 1 species
AAAGUUGUUGGCUGUUCCCCUCAGUUGGAUGUUGGAGAUGAGAAAUUUGAGACUCUGUUGGUGACUUUGGUCCCAAAAGUUUAAUGCUGUGUCCAUACACUGAUGCUUCUUCUUUCGUAGCAUUCAACAAUGACCUUAACUAUAUACAUUGAUAAUGUAAAUUUUCAACAUUAUCUGCUCGCUUGAAAUGUAAUUGCAGGUAACUCUACAUAAAACAAUUGAACUACUAACCUAAACAAUAACACAAGCUGCAACCUUAUGCACUAGGUUAAAUUGCAAUGGAGUGUAAAUAUUUAAUUGUAUUAUCAGUAAAUAAAAGCUAAAGUCCUACAGUUUCAUCGUAUACAAGACUGCAAGUUUGCCUUUUUGAAAAAGUUGGGUUUUCAUGCGCAUAAUUUGUUAAUCUAAUUUAAUAAUGUUGUCCGUCAAAAUAACCUAUUUGAUCAAUUUAGCACAGAGGGAAUGUAAUACAAAAAACUUGGUAAAUGCACUUGUAAUUAGCGGAAAGGAGAAAACACAUGAAAUGAUGAAGUUGACUGAUCUUAACAUUUUCAAAUAAGGAAACUGAGUUGUUGUAAAGAAAAAGGGACAAUCUUAUCGACACUUUACAUAAGAAUAAUUUAUUAAUUUGGUUUAAGGUAUAUUGAAAUAAAAUAUAAAAAUUGCGGUUUAUGGAACACAGAAAAAGAUAUGUAAAAAUGGUAGCCAUUUUGGUAAUGAGAAAAUUAGUGGUUGAUGCCAUAGACCACACAAAAAUGUAUGAGGAAACAAGACAAUUAAUCUGACGGUGCGUUAUGUUUCCGCUAUAUACAAAAGCUUACGUGGGUGUUCUUGUAUAUAUAAGAGUUUAAGAAAAGAGUUGGACCACAUUUUUGGGGAAAAAAGGUUUUGUUUAUGUAAAUUGAAAACAUAUAGUGAAAAAUCUAUAUUUUAGGCGUAAGUGCGUGUAUACAAACAAUUAAUACUAACCAACAUUCUUUCGGGACCAAAGUCACCAACAACGUAUCAUCUUCUGCUUCUUCUUCAAUUUCCCCUUAGCAUAUCGAGUGGGGCAAAUUCGACUACUUUUAUAGAUUAGUUCUACCAUGUCACAACCGUACAAUUUUUUACAACAAUACUAGCAAGUACACUGAUUGUACUACAAGUAGUAAAAUCUUGUCCAUUUUAUUAAAGUACCAAGUUUUUCU